rnacentral:rRNA from 1 species
GGCUAUCACUUUUGGAUGGUCCCGCGGCGUAUUAGCUAGAUGGUGGGGUAACGGCUCACCAUGGCAAUGAUACGUAGCCGACCUGAGAGGGUAAUCGGCCACAUUGGGACUGAGACACGGCCCAAACUCCUACGGGAGGCAGCAGUAGGGAAUCUUCCACAAUGGACGAAAGUCUGAUGGAGCAACGCCGCGUGAGUGAAGAAGGGUUUCGGCUCGUAAAACUCUGUUGUUAAAGAAGAACAUAUCUGAGAGUAACUGUUCAGGUAUUGACGGUAUUUAACCAGAAAGCCACGGCUAACUACGUGCCAGCAGCCGCGGUAAUACGUAGGUGGCAAGCGUUGUCCGGAUUUAUUGGGCGUAAAGCGAGCGCAGGCGGUUUUUUAAGUCUGAUGUGAAAGCCUUCGGCUCAACCGAAGAAGUGCAUCGGAAACUGGGAAACUUGAGUGCAGAAGAGGACAGUGGAACUCCAUGUGUAGCGGUGAAAUGCGUAGAUAUAUGGAAGAACACCAGUGGCGAAGGCGGCUGUCUGGUCUGUAACUGACGCUGAGGCUCGAAAGUAUGGGUAGCAAACAGGAUUAGAUACCCUGGUAGUCCAUACCGUAAACGAUGAAUGCUAAGUGUUGGAGGGUUUCCGCCCUUCAGUGCUGCAGCUAACGCAUUAAGCAUUCCGCCUGGGGAGUACGGCCGCAAGGCUGAAACUCAAAGGAAUUGACGGGGGCCCGCACAAGCGGUGGAGCAUGUGGUUUAAUUCGAAGCUACGCGAAGAACCUUACCAGGUCUUGACAUACUAUGCAAAUCUAAGAGAUUAGACGUUCCCUUCGGGGACAUGGAUACAGGUGGUGCAUGGUUGUCGUCAGCUCGUGUCGUGAGAUGUUGGGUUAAGUCCCGCAACGAGCGCAACCCUUAUUAUCAGUUGCCAGCAUUAAGUUGGGCACUCUGGUGAGACUGCCGGUGACAAACCGGAGGAAGGUGGGGAUGACGUCAAAUCAUCAUGCCCCUUAUGACCUGGGCUACACACGUGCUACAAUGGAUGGUACAACGAGUUGCGAACUCGCGAGAGUAAGCUAAUCUCUUAAAGCCAUUCUCAGUUCGGAUUGUAGGCUGCAACUCGCCUACAUGAAGUCGGAAUCGCUAGUAAUCGCGGAUCAGCAUGCCGCGGUGAAUACGUUCCCGGGCCUUGUACACACCGCCCGUCACACCAUGAGAGUUUGUAACACCCAAAGUCGGUGGGGUAACCUUUUAGGAACCAGCCGCCUAAGGUGGGACAGAUGAUUAGGGUGAAGUCGUAACAAGGUAGCCGUAGGAGAACCUGCGGCUGGAUCACCUCCUUUCUAAGGAA